CAAAACUCCGCGGUUCAACAGCUAAAGAGCAAUUUGAUGGGGCUGGGAUGGGGAAAUUACUUGAUUAGCGUCCGUCCGAGAAGAGAGCGGUUACUGCCCCUCGGCCAGGAAUCCGAAACCGGAACAAAACGCGCUGUGGCCUCUCAGGUGCCGCUCUGAGGCUUCGGUGCCCAGCGAACAGCCAGCCGGCGCUGUACACAGCCACCUACCUCGUUCGAGGUGAAACUACGUGGCAACGGUACUUUUACCUGGAGCAGUUCUGCGUUCACACUUUUUCCCGAGGGAAGGAGUGGCCACGCCCGAGUCUCUACUCGUUCUCUACUCCCCAUUCGGGAGGAAAGAGCGAUGACCAGGAGUCCCUCCAGUACAUCAGUUACACGCCUCUGCCCCUAGGAAACCUGCAUCUAGUGUAAUCUUUCCUCUUCUGCGUAGCUUCGGGCUCUUGUGCUGCUUAAUACGCCCGGGUUUUCCCCACAACGUACCGGAACCCAGGAUGGAGUGAAUCCCGCGUGCCACUAGUUAGGGUUGGGGGUCCGUGGACUGCGGAAUAUACGCGGCUUCGGGUGACCCAAUUUGACCACCACCUGGGCCCUGUCUGCAAGAGAACCCUCUCUUAAUCGAAGUUUUUCAGAAGGGUGAAUUUGACCCGAAUCUGCGCAUCUUUAUUACCCACUGUGGAUAGUGUGAAGUUAAUGCGUUUGAAAUACAGAUGGAGCCAAAUCACUGAAGUCAUUUCGAAGGAUAACUUUUCCCUAAUUCAAAUGGGACUGUCUUUCGCAUACUACAAAUGCGAACAAAGGAAAAUAAAAAACUUUUUUCAAUUAAA